CAAUAGCGUAUAUUUAAGUUGCUGCAGUUAAAAAGCUCGUAGUUGGAUUUCGGGUGGGAAUGGCCGGUCCGCCGUUUCGGUGUGCACUUGCUACGCCCACCUUGCUGCCGGGGACGUGCUCUUGAGUUCACGCUCGGGACACGGAGUCGGCGAGGUUACUUUGAGUAAAUUAGAGUGUUCAAAGCAGGCCUACGCUCUGAAUACAUUAGCAUGGAAUAACACGAUAGGACUCUGGCCUAUCUUGUUGGUCUGUAGGACCGGAGUAAUGAUUAAGAGGGACAGUUGGGGCCGUUUAUAUUUCGUUGUCAGAGGUGAAAUUCUUGGAUUUACGAAAGAUAAACUUCUGCGAAAGCAUUCGGCAAGGAUGUUUUCAUUGA
rnacentral:rRNA from 1 species